rnacentral:misc_RNA from 1 species
UUUCCGUAGGUGAACCUGCGGAAGGAUCAUUACUAAUUGAGGGUCUCUCAGGCUUGAUCUCUCACUCUGUGUCUUUGUGACCAUGUUGCUUUGGCUUGUUCGUCUCGAUGAAACGCCCCCCGAACUUUACCGCUUUGGGCCCUUUCUCGCCAGUAUUCUCCUUAAAUACUUAAUAAACCUGCUGUCAGCGUCUAGAUACUAUAAAAAAAACUUUCAACAACGGACAGCAUGUCUCUGGCGUCGAUGAAGAACGCAGCAGCACGGAAGACUACACCUCUU